CCCCACUUUGUACUGCUGAACCAUACGACACUAUUGAUGAUUGUAGUUUCAAGGUUUAGAUAUUAAUGAUAUUUUCUGUUUCCUAUCAAUAGAAAAAAAAGGUUUAGGAUUAUUUUUUACUAUGUGAUUCCUUUUACAAUUAAUGGUAGCAUGUUUGUGUUAAAAUAACACAAAAUAUGAACCUAUUCUAAUUCAAUAAAGACAUCUUUUGGGCUUUGCUUUUCUUUUAAAACUGUAAUGUGAUAGAGUAAGGAAGCACAAUCUAUUACUGUAGAACUAAUGGGGAGGGGAAGAGUUAAAGAAUUACUUGAGGUUCAAUUCAAAAAAGAUUCUUCUGUGGAAAGCCUCCAAAGUUAGUUAUUUAUUGUCCGAUCAGUCUGAUUUCUUCUCUUUAUAAAAUUAUUGCCAAAGCUCUUGCUUAGAGGUUGAAGAAGGUUCUCCCUUCCACCAUAAGCGAUUGUCAAACAACCUUUGCAGUGGGUAUCCUAGAUGCCAUUCUUGUAGCUUCAGAAGUGGUUGAAGAUUUGGACGUUAAGUAAUAAUAGGGGUAUGUUUUGAAGUUGGACCUUGAAAAGGCUUAGGACAAAGUCGAUUGGCACUUCCUUGAUGUUGUUCUGAAGCUAAAAGGCUUUGAUAGCUUGUGGAGAAAACGGAUAAGAGGUGGUUUCUACUGAAAAUUUCUCUGUUUUGAUUAAUGGUGAGCCUAGGGGAAAGAUUUCAGCGGUAAGAGGUUUGAGGCAAGGCCAUCCUUUGCCCCCCCUCCCUCUCUCUUUCUAUCAUCAGGGAGGCUCUCAGCUCUCAGCUGAGUGUUGCAUGAUUGUCAGGAAAGCAGAAUCUUAAAAGCUUUCCAAGUUGAGGAAGCUAUGGUCAAUAUGUCGCAUCUCCAGAACACUGAUGACAUGGUUGAGCCUUUAUGUGGAAUGGAAUACUUUCCCGCAUUGAUUGGGGUGUUGGGUGUGGGCUCGCUAUAUUGUCGAAAUAUGUCUUUGCUAGUGGCUCUGGAGAUUCAUGCAAGAAGAAAAUCCCCUCUGGAAGAAGGUAAUCCCUACAUUUAUGGAGCUAAUACUCACAGUUGAAUGAUGAGAAGAGAAAGGUAGCAGAUCUUCGGUCGACGUUGCCAAAAGUUUGCUGCUCUUUGUUUUUUUUUUACUUAAUUUAAAGUUGAUGCAGGUGUUCAAAUCCAUUUUUGGAAGAUAGUUUGGUUGACCAAGAUACAUUACAGAAUUGCUUUCCAGAUUUUUCUGUGAUUUCUAGCAAAAAAGGUGCUUCUAUUUCUGAGUGUUGGGACAACAACAAAAAAGUUGGAAUUUGGGCCACACAUGGGGUCUCUUUGACAGGGAACUAAAUAGUUGGGGUGAUAAUAGAAAAUUUGACUUCGGUUCAGUGAGUUGGAGGGCCUGAUCGAGCCUUUUGGCCCCUUGAGGGCUAAGGUUGUUAUUCUUUGAAGUCAGCCUGCAUAUGCGUUGCUAAAAAUACUAGAAAGGUAAAAUCCCCUUGACCGCGUUGGUUUGGAGAAUGGACGCAGAAAGUAGAACUUUUCGGUCCUUUGGCAUUUAGAAGCCUUGAUACUGACGAGAUGAUUGAGAAAAAAGGUUUUAAGUCUUGGGCUCUUUCUCAGUGCUUUGGCAUUUAGAAGCCUUGAUGAUUGGCUUGUGGAAGGCAUAAGUGCUUUGAAUUUGUCAAGCAAAGCUAGGAUUUUGGGUUGCUAUGCUAUGAUAGAUCCUUUGUGGUAGAUUUGGCUCGAAAUCUAUAUUUUCAAGAUAAGUUUCCUAAUUUUGAUUCUUUUUGUAUUCUUUACGGUUCUUGAUGGGCCUCUUUACAUUCAAAGUUCUUUUAUCAGCUAUUGGAAACCGCUUGUUAAGUAGUUCCCCUGGACGGAAUUUCCUCUUCCCUUAGUAAUGUUGUCUUUUAUUGUCUUUUUACCUUCCCUUACUUGUGUGUUUCUAUCUAUAUGUAUAUAUAUAGUGAAUGGAAUAGAGUAUUCUGAUUCUCUCAAACCUUUAGCAUUUACAUGGCAAUAGAGAGCCAGGUUAAUUGGAUUUUUUUUUGUUAACCUAGGGAUUUUUUUUUUUUUUUUUUUUUUUUUUUUUUUUUUUUUUUUUUUUUUUUUUUUUUUUUGUUAACCUAUGGUUUUGUGAACCUUAGAUUUUGGAGUUUGGGUCAGAGAUUUCUGUCUACACAUGUUGUAUCUGUGCAUCUACUCCUGAUAACUUCGAAAAUUUCAUUACGAUUUCUGCAGAGGAGUUUGCAAUUUCAACCAUAUCAAGUGUCAUUAUUGACAUUAUAUUCUACUCCAGUUACUGCUAUCGCAAAGACUAACGCUUCUAUAUGCCUUCUUCCUCCACUUUGAAAUGAGCCAUUGACUUUGGUGCUACCAAUCAUAUGACAGGCAAUCCCAAUUUAUUCCUUUUUUAAAAUUUUUUUGUCUACCUUUUCACCUAAUGUUACCAUAGAUGAAAAAACUACAUCUCCAGUUUGGGUCUGACGCAAUGAAUCUUACCAAAUCAAUUUCAUUGUCGUUUGGUUUAAAUUUACCACAGUUAUCUUUUGAUCUCUAUUAGUAAAUUCGCUUGCAAUCUUAAUUCUUGCAUCUUAUUCAUUCCUGGUCAUUGCUUAAUGCUUAGUUUAGGAUCUUACAACGAAGAAGACUAUUGGUAGUGGGCGUGAAUUUGAAGGUCUCUCCAUCUUUAAACCACAAGUAUCUAUAGCCAUCAUAUGCUCUAGAGUGUCCAUUUAGCCGCCAUCACAUGCUCUAAGUGCCUCCUUCCUUCGAAGAAUAUUUCCAUUUGGGUCAUUUGUCUAUCUCAAUAUUGAAGACUCUUGUCCUCAAUUUUAUGAUUUGUGAAUGAAAAAAAACGGAUUUGUCUGCGGUAUGGUCCGCUCAACAAAGGAUCAUAUGUUUUUGGUAAAUAGUCGUUUUUAGUUUCGUUAGAUUGUGUCAUGUUAGUUUGCUAAGUUUUAACAUAUGAGUUUGUAUCCAAGAUUCAAUACAUGAGCUAGUGCUCUUAUUGAGUCAUAGAGGGUUUCAGUAUUUUUUUUUACCUUUGUUGACGAUUAUUCUCAUUUACUUGGUUAUUUUUAAUGAAAACCCCAUUCUAAGUUAAUUUCUUAUUUUCAUAACAUUCAUCGGUAAAUUCGAAAUCAACCAGUUCUUUUAAAGUCCUAUGGAGUGUAAUGCUAAGAAAUAUUUCUAAAAAAGAGAUACUCCUUAUACAGUUAAUUUUGUAACUAAGGGUAUUCAUGACACCCAACGUUUGCCGUUGAAUGAAAAGUUAACUCAAGAAAUGAGACAAAUGAGUUGGCUCGAUUGGAGGGGUUCAACAACAUUUUCUUGAUUAGAGGCAGUGUCUUGAGCAGCAUCCCAAAUCUCUUUGAUAGUUGAAAGUAGGAGAAAAUUAUCUCUAAUCUUAGUGCUCAUGGAGUUGAUUAACUAGCUCAUAACUUGAUUGUUCUUGUGGAACCUUGAGUUUGGGUUAAGAUGCUUUACCUGUGCGUACAUGAACAUCAUCACAGAUUGUGAACUCUGAAGGUAGUUGUGGCCUUUGAGUUUGUGGCAUGUUAUUUGCAUACUGUUGUUCUCAGUGAAGGGAAAAUGAUAUUUUGCGAUUCUGAUCCUAACAAGAUUUAAAAGA